rnacentral:misc_RNA from 1 species
UAAGGCAGCCUCCUGGGAUAACACUGACGUUUCCGCGUGCCUGAAAGCGUGGGGAGCAAAACAGGAUUAGAUACCCUGGUAGUCCACGCCCUAAACGAUGUCAACUAGCUGUUGGGGCCUUCGGGCCUUGGUAGCGCAGCUAACGCGUGAAGUUGACCGCCCGGGGAGUACGGUCGCAAGAUUAAAACCUGCUAAAGGAAUUGACGGGGACCCGCACAAGCGGUGGAUGAUGUGGAUUAAUUCGAUGCAACGCGAAAACCUACCUACCCUUGACAUGUCUGGAAUCCCGAAGAGAUUUGGGAGUGCUCGCAAGAGAACCGGAACACAGGUGCUGCAUGGCUGUCGUCAGCUCGUGUCGAGAUGUUGGGUUAAGUCCCGCAACGAGCGCAACCUGUCAUUAGUUACAUGAAAGGGCACUCUAAUGAGACUGCCGGUGACAAACCGAGGAAGGUGGGGAUGACGUCAAGUCCUCAGCGGCCCCAGCGGUGGGCUUCACACGUCAUACAAUGGUCGGGACAGAGGGUCGCCAACCCGCGAGGGGGAGCCAAUCCCAGAAACCCGAUCGUAGUCCGGAUCGCAGUCUGCAACUCGACUGCGUGAAGUCGGAAUCAUGAGAAUCGCGGAUCAGCAUGUCGCGGUGAAUACGUUCCCGGGUCUUGUACACACCGCCCGUCACACCAUGGGAGUGGGUUUUACCAGAAGUAGUUAGCCUAACCGUAAGGAGGGCGAUUACCACGGUAGGAUUCAUGACUGGGGUGAGGUCGUAACAAGGUAG